UCCCCAAAGGCAGGUAAACAAGGCUGGA
rnacentral:piRNA from 1 species